GGGGGAAUAUUGGACAAUGGGCGAAAGCCUGAUCCAGCCAUGCCGCGUGUGUGAAGAAGGCCCUCGGGUUGUAAAGCACUUUCAGCGAGGAAGAACGCCUAGUGGUUAAUACCCAUUAGGAAAGACAUCACUCGCAGAAGAAGCACCGGCUAACUCCGUGCCAGCAGCCGCGGUAAUACGGAGGGUGCAAGCGUUAAUCGGAAUUACUGGGCGUAAAGCGCGCGUAGGUGGCUUGAUAAGCCGGUUGUGAAAGCCCCGGGCUCGACCUGGGAACGGCAUCCGGAACUGUCAAGCUAGAGUGCAGGAGAGGAAGGUAGAAUUCCCGGUGUAGCGGUGAAAUGCGUAGAGAUCGGGAGGAAUACCAGUGGCGAAGGCGGCCUUCUGGACUGACACUGACACUGAGGUGCGAAAGCGUGGGUAGCAAACAGGAUUAGAUACCC
rnacentral:rRNA from 1 species